CAUUGUAGGCUACACAUAGCCUAGAUGUCCUUAAUAUGUGAACGUCCUUAAAGACGUCCCGAACGAUGGGCUCAUAGGAGAUCUUACAGUCGUCUCGGAGAAGGAAUAGAUGAAACACGAAGUUUUUCCGGUUUUGACCAUUCUGCCCUGACCCUGCCUGCCGUUCUUUACCUUUCUGACUCUGCCCUGGAUUACUGACCUCUGCCUGCCCCUUGACCUGUCAUCUGCCUGCCCCAUGUUUUUGUCUAUAAACAUCUGUGAUUCGAACUGUCUACAUUUGGGUCUUGUCCUGAGUCGUGAUAGCAGUAGACAUACCUUUGUAUGCCUCCUCAUCUGUAUACCUGCAGACACAGACACAAAAGGGAGCAGUUCAGUCAUCUGCACCCAAUACAGCUAGCCUUCAACAUAUUCUUAUAGCCUACAGGACAUAUUCUUACCUCUUUGUUGAUUGAUAUCCAUUGAAUUGUGUCCAUGUUCUGUUUUAGAAAGAUUUACACAAAUGUUAAAAUAUAUGGUAUCAUCACAAAACAAUAUCAAAUUUAGAUCACACAAGGGACAAACCUUACCUUCAAUUUAGGAGAUCUUUACAUUUUUCAGUUAAGUGACUGCACCUGCUGUCCUGUCAAAUCCAAAUGUUUCAGUUGGGCAGUUAGGUUCCUGCAAGAACCCUUACAGUUUGGGACCACUGCAUUAGGCUACUCAGUCAAGAACCACUUGUGUAAUCACAUGGUUACACAAUGCAAUUCAUGAGAUUCAUUCACCUAUUGCCAAAUACAUUUGCAGAAUGAUAAUGCAUGUGUGCCCUUAGGCCAACCUGAGGAGUUUGGUGGAGUAAUCUGUCUUGUCAUCUGAGCUUACCACAGGAAGGCUGUGCUGGAGUGAGCGGGAGAGGCAUGAUCCACAGUUUAAAUGUGAAUUGAAAGGUUCCUGUAAAAUUCUCUCCACGCAGAAGUCCAUUUAAAUCAGACCAAAUAUAUUCAGAGAUAAUACAGAGAUAGAGAAAAAAAACACAUUCAACUUUCUUUUUCUUUGUGAAAUAUACCAAUUUCAAUAUACUUGUUAGCUAUACUAUGUUGAUAUGGGUGCUAUGUUGACAUGACACAAUAACUAUGAAUAUUGCUAAAUGUACAUACCAAAACUACUUAAGAGGGAUCAGUAUAAAUCAGUUUUCAACUUAUUGCUAGAGUAACCUAGCUACAAGUCCCGGAAUAGUUGUGAAAUGUUUUAUGUGAGCACAUCUAAAAGGUAUGUUGCCUAAAGACAGAGGAGUGACAGCCAGGACUCGUGAUAUGAACUGACACAACUAUGACAAUGGCCUUGCAUGUCAUCUUUACGCAAGUGAAAACGACACAUGCAAAGAAUACAUAUAUGCUGCACUCAAUCGUAGUGAGUGAAGUGUAAAGUUUGACAUGAAUAAGGUUUCCUGAAGAGGGCAGUAUCAGAGUGUGUUUGGUGGUGUUGCCUGGUAGUCAGCAUUCUCUCUCACUACAUUAUGAACAUUAAAGUGAUGUUCACUUUGCAAAGGUGAAAUUCGAAAUGCUAUACAUCAAAUUGAUUAGGAACUAUCUUGAAAAAGAUUUUGAUUUGAAGCAAAAAGGUAUAUGGGUUAAUGUCAACAGUGUUAGAGAUACUUUAUUGUAUUUGUAAGUAUCUGUGAGUGAUAUAUUUAAGUAUUUCUGUGCAUACAUAAAAGUAGAACUGUUGCCGAACCUUUACUGUACUUCAUGGUGAA